GUAGUCGGUUUCGCAUCAAUCCAUAUGUGUUUGGAUGAGUUGUAGUGAAAUUUGAACUAAAUUCACCCUAAUUCACUCCAACAUAUGUGGAUUGAGAUGAAUCCGACA
rnacentral:pre_miRNA from 1 species